rnacentral:rRNA from 1 species
UACGAAGGGGGCUAGCGUUGUUCGGAUUUACUGGGCGUAAAGCGCACGUAGGCGGAUCGUUAAGUCGGGGGUGAAAUCCUGGAGCUCAACUCCAGAACUGCCUUCGAUACUGGCGAUCUUGAGUCCGGAAGAGGUGAGUGGAACUCCUAGUGUAGCGGUGAAAUGCGCAGAUAUCAGGAGGAACACCGGUGGCGAAGGCGGGUCUCUGGGCAACAACUGACGCUGAGGAGCGAAAGCGUGGGGAGCGAACAGG